AGAGUUGUAGCUUAGCGGUUGAGUGCUUGCCUUGCAUGCAUGAGGCUCUGGGUUUGAUCCUCAGCACCACAU
rnacentral:tRNA from 1 species